rnacentral:rRNA from 1 species
AGACUUUAGCUCAUGCAGUCGGACGGCAGCACGGGCUUCGGCCUGGUGGCGAGUGGCGAACGGGUGAGUAAUGUAUCGGAACGUGCCCAGUAGCGGGGGAUAACUACGCGAAAGCGUGGCUAAUACCGCAUACGCCCUACGGGGGAAAGCGGGGGACCUUCGGGCCUCGCACUAUUGGAGCGGCCGAUAUCGGAUUAGCUAGUUGGUGGGGUAACGGCCUACCAAGGCGACGAUCCGUAGCUGGUUUGAGAGGACGACCAGCCACACUGGGACUGAGACACGGCCCAGACUCCUACGGGAGGCAGCAGUGGGGAAUUUUGGACAAUGGGGGCAACCCUGAUCCAGCCAUCCCGCGUGUGCGAUGAAGGCCUUCGGGUUGUAAAGCACUUUUGGCAGGAAAGAAACGGCACGGGCUAAUAUCCUGUGCAACUGACGGUACCUGCAGAAUAAGCACCGGCUAACUACGUGCCAGCAGCCGCGGUAAUACGUAGGGGUGCAAGCGUUAAUCGGAAUUACUGGGCGUAAAGCGUGCGCAGGCGGUUCGGAAAGAAAGAUGUGAAAUCCCAGGCUUACCUUGGAACUGCAUUUUUACUACCGGGCUAGAGUGUGUCAGAGGGAGGUGGAAUUCCGCGUGUAGCAGUGAAAUGCGUAGAUAUGCGGAGGAACACCGAUGGCGAAGGCAGCCUCCUGGGAUAACACUGACGCUCAUGCACGAAAGCGUGGGGAGCAACAGGAUUAGAUACCCUGGUUAGUCCACGCCCUUAACGAUGUCACUAGCUGUUGGGGCCUUCGGCCUUGGUUAGCGCAGCUAACGCGUG